rnacentral:rRNA from 1 species
UACGUAGGGGGCGAGCGUUGUCCGAAGUUACUGGGCGUAAAGCGCGCGUAGGCGGGCGCGUAAGUCCGCUGUGAAAGCCCUAAGCUCAACUUAGGAGGGUCGGUGGAGACUGCGUUUCUUGAAGGUGCUAGAGGGAGAUGGAAUUACCGGUGUAGCGGUGAAAUUCGUAGAUAUUCGCAAGAACACCAGUGGCGAAGGCGGCUCACUGGCCCGGUACUGACGCUGAGGUGCGGAAGCGUGGGGAGCAAACAGG